CGAAUCCGAACCGAAUCCGAUCCAAAACCAAACCGAAACCGAACCGAUAAAUUCUAGUUAUCCGAGUAGAUCUAACUAUCUAAGAUCCGACCCAGAUCCGGCACGAUCCGAACCCACCCGGAACUGAAAAUUUGAAAUUAUCCUAUUGGGUCCUAAACUCUUAGACCCGAUAAACCCGAAUUUGAAAGAACCCAACCCGACGACCCGAAUGCCCAUGGCUAAUCCAACACUAAAAAUAUCUUUCCAUUUGAGCCAACCUCGUUUUUCUCUAUGAAAAAAAGAGAGUAUCUGAUAAGACUUGGUAAUGGGCUUUCUGGUAUUGGGUUAGUUUUAUUUAAGGCCCAUUUUAAUUCAGACAAUACACAAAAAAAAAUCUUCAAAAUAUUUUUAAUCAGCACUACCUAAAUGGUAUCAUAAACCUUUUUGGAUACGCAAUGUACUUUCCUGCUAAACGAAAGUGGUAUUUUUUUGUUUCCAAAGAGAUAAUUUAUGUAUAUGAACUGUCUGACAUAAGCGGCAAUACAUCAAGUAACAAAACAAUGUAAAACAUUUUUGACUUGCUGAUACUAGAAGUUACAUUAUACUGCCGAUGUAAGUUUUGUUAUCAGCUAUAACAUUUGUGAUCUCUUUAUCUUUCUCCAUCUUCAAAUUUUUAUACAGUUCCAAGGCAAUGGACUACUUAAUUGUCAACCAGCUGAGAAGUCUUUUCUCUGUAUAUUCACAAAACAUUAAAACCUUGUAGGCCAUCUUCUAUGACCAGAAAUCAUUAAUGAUGGUCUUACAGAUAACCAGAACCAACUCAAGUUGACUUGACUUGUUUUUGGCUUCUCUUUUCCCUUCUUUCUUUCUUGUGUUAAAUUAUGUUGUGUUUAUAUAAUACUGGAAGAAGGAGAAGAAGAAACAAAAGGACAUCAAUGUCCAGAAGAACAAUUUUCAGAAGCACGGGAGCUUAUUGCUGGAGGAACUCAUAGAAUCUUCAGGAGGUAAAUACAAUCCUAUCCGUAUUUUUUCUUCCCACCAAAUCCUUCAAGCUGCAGACAACUUCAACAGGAGCAAGGCAACCUGUGAAGACAGAUUCGUGUGGUACAAAGGUACGAUUAAAAACAGAACCGUGCUGAUCAAGAACUUGAUAGAACAGUAUUAUAUAAACUACAGAGAAUAAAUAUUGUAAAAAAUAAAAUUGAUAAGAUUAUAUCAAAGAGUCAGAUAUUAUUUCUUACCUUAAUUCAUAUGUCUAGUAAUGUGACGGUUCAGUAACGUAAUGAGUCACAGGAUACAACUGCAAAAAAUCUUCUGAUUUACGUCACUCUAUCAGAAAUCUGGCAAAACUAAUUUUGUGUAUAUUCUCAGACUUAAAAAAAAAUAUCAAAGAAAAAGAAGAGAGUAAAAAAUAAUGUGAGGGAUUUUGUUUUCUGCCUAUUUCUGAAUGAGCUUUCACGUUUGAUAUCUAACAAUACUAAAAGUUAGAUAUACUCAGCUCUUAGCAUAUCCGCAUCAGCUCAAAUAAUUAACUUAUCACAAAGCUUUAAAUUGUCACAUCAUCUUAAAGAACUAUUAAAACAGAAAAAAAAACAAAGAAACUAUAACCUAAUUGUGACUCUUCUUCUGCUCAUACAUACGUAACGCUUUGCUUCUAACGACCAUCUCUCAGCCAGACCCUUCAGUUAUAAUCUCUUUUCAUCUCCCACACCUUCCCAUUCUCUUAUAUGUAACACGUAUAAAGUAGCCUAAUAGUAGACUGAUUCAAUUCCAUUAUCUAUUUAUCUACACCUCAGUCUUAUAAACAUGAGUUUUCAACUCCAAAAGCUAAGAGGACACUGGAGAUUUACUGCGGAUGAUUGGUAUGAUAUAGUGAUCACUCAUCUACUUAUUAAUUACUGUAGUUUUUGGAUCUGCGUGUAAAACAUAUUCUUAUCUCCAGUAUGAGAAUCAUCGAGUCAGAGGUAACCAAACCAGAAGCUGAGCCGAACACGCAAGUAUUUUUUUAGUAAGGAGUGCAUGAGUCCAAAGGAUCCCAUCCCAUGUCAACUCUUUUAUUAGUGAUGCCACAACAAUCUCCUCUUUCUUACAAGAGAGUGAUCGAUACCUUCUCGGCUUCUCAUGUCAUAUUUUCUAUCUAACUUUUUCCACCUACUCAGUUUGAAAGAAUCCUUUUUUUUUUUGAAAAUAAGGUUGAAAGAAUCUUACAUUGGUUGCUAUCACCGCUGUUUGAUUUAUGCGUUAGCUUCUUGCAUUAGGACAUUUCCAACAAGACACCAAAAUACCAAAUUUGGUGUAAUCUCAUCUCCAACAAAACAUCAAAUUUGACACUAUUCCAUCAAAUUUGUUGUAAUAUGAAUAGUGCUACACCAAAUUUAGUGUAAUACUAUUCAUCACACCAAAAUUUUAAAAUACAUAUUUUAUUAUGUUUCAUUUAAUAAUAUAGUUCCAUUGUUAUCAAAUUUGUAAUUAAAAGUAAAUAUAUUAUGUUAUUUUUAUUUUUAUUUUAUCUUCACAUAAUUAAAAAAAAAUUAAAAAUUUUAUUUAUUUUUAUUUUCAAAAUAAAUCACUAAAUGACUAUUAUUAUUGAUCAUUUACAAAUAAUAAAAUAUAAAUAAUAAUCUAAAUGUGACUAAAUAAUUAUUUAUUAAUUAAUAAAUAAAUAAUAAAAAUAUAAAACUUUAAGAAUUGAAAACAUCAAAUAAUAUAUAAUAAUACAUUUGGUGUAAAAUUUGGUGUUAUUCUUAAAGAUGAUAAAAAGAUUAUGAUACCAAAACACCAAAUUUGGUGUAAUUUCAACACCAAAUAUAAUGUCAUUCUUGGAAAUGCCCUUAGUAAGGCUUAUUUCUUUUCAUUCAUCAUGCUUUUGAUAUGCAUUGAUGUAAGAAUUUUACAAUUCUUUAUGCACUACUCUGUAUUGCUCUAAAUUUUGUGAUUGCUAAUUAUUGUGUAGGUUUCAAAUAGUGGCUUCAGUAUGUUUCAGUUUCUUUCUGUGAUUUGAUAGUUUAAUGUUGAUCUCGUGAGUCGUGAUAAAAUAGUGCUUGAUUAUAUAUAUAUUGUGAAAUAAAGAAGCUCUAUCUCUGAAUAGUUAAUUGGAAACUCGUAUAAAUCAUUCAAGUUUCUUACUUCACAAUGAUUUCGUAAAUAGCAUAUCAGAAGACAUAGACAACAAGUCUCUAUACUCUAUAUUACUUUCUGUGGGGUCAUUCGAUUGAUUUGAAAUUUCUUACACUGAUGGCUAUUUUAAAUAGGUUUUUUGGCGUUGACAAAAAAAAAAGGUUUUUUGGCGGCAUUUUAAAUGAUUUAUAUAUCUUAACAUGGCUCUCGUAACCUAUCAUAACAAUAUAACUGUAAACAAUGAGAAUUAUUAUUAAUCAAUUACUAUGAUUUACUACGUUCUACUGUUUAAUACUUUCAACUGAUCACCACUUUGGAAUGGUAUGGGAAAAUAACCUGUUUAACUCAUCGGUUAAUCAUAAAUCAUGUUCACCAAUUUAAUUUUCCAUAAUUAUGUUAAGAUUUGAUGAAACUAUCUAUUAAUCUUUGCUUCGCAAUAAUAUAUCUACAAAAUUUUUGAUUCUGACAAAAAAAUUUGGUUUAUAUAUGAAACCAAGAUUGCAUAAUUGUAAAUUUAGCUAGAUUAAGUCUGGUUUUACAUUAAUUUUUUUUGAAGAUGAACAGAAAAUGGUAAUUUUAUAAUUUUAAGUCAAAACAAAGUUUAAAUUAGUUGUAAAAUUAAGAAAUUUCUAACAUAAAACCUAAAUAAGCAAGAUAAAAUUUGUUUUGAUCGUAUAUAUAUAGUUUAAUUAAAUUUUUAUUCAUAUACCUUACAUUUCUUAAUAAAAAUUUAAUCAAUAAAAAUAUGAUGAAUUUUAAUAUUUAAAAUUUGUUAUCCAGUUAAUAAUUAUAAAUUUGGCCUACUAAAUUAUUUUGAUAAAUUAUUCAAUAUAUAUUUAUGAUAUAUAAAUUUAAAUACAAAUGCCAAAAAGACCAACUUAAAACGAAUCCUAACACCCUAGGAAACUUCCUUUAGAGGUUCUUUUGAAAUUUAUAUAUAGUUGUGCAUAUUUUGAAAUAGAGGUUCUCCACCUGAUUAAAACAAGAAUCGAUCACUGAGAGAAAGAUGUGUAGUACUUGAAAAUUUAAUGACGAAGUUUUAAUAUAUCUCUCACACAUUGCAAUUACAAAUUCACAUGGGUCUCUAGCAACAACUCUUCCAGCCAAUGGGAACAUACUAAUAAACUAUGAGAGCUACACAUAGCCACAUGGAAAGGUACUGACCAUCACAAACAUCGAUCACUUCUAAUGCUCUCAGAUUAAUUUCCAGCUUUCACAGUUUCAGGAACCCAUUGUGAUGCAGUAGCAGCUUCCACAGUUUAAAAAAACUAUUUCAAAAAAAAGUAGUAAAUAAACUAACAAACAAAAAAAUAUUUAAAAAAUCACUGGAUUUAUAGAUUAAUUUUAUGGAAAGAGGAUUAAUUAAAAAAGGAUAAUUAUCUAAAAACACAAAAAAAAUAUUGAAAAUAAAAUUAAUAAAAGGUAUAUCACUACUAUUGUAAAGAGUUUUGCUUAAAGCAUCCCUAACUAUGCCACACGUGAAUUCUAACUUUUAUCAGUAAAAAGUUGCUAUAUCAUCAAGUUUAACACCAAAUAAAUUUAGAUUCAAAGCCGGUUUUGGUAUCAAUACGACCUUUCUCAUUAGCUCAUCAUUUAGCCCAUCCAUCGUAUGUGAAUGUUCCAUAGUAAUUAAUUUUAGAAAGAAUGUAGAAAAGUUAACGACUCAACUUACUACGAAUAAUAUUUUACUUAAAGCACACUAUUGAUGUUAUUGGCAGCUUCAGAAAAACCAUAUGCAUCAAAUUAAACAACAUAUAAUUAGUAUGAAAAUGCAAAAAGAGUAUAAAAGAUCAAAUGUUAAAUUUAACAAGACAACAAUAUAAAAAAAAAUCUCUAUCUUCAUUUGCUAAUGUUGUAGACAUUUUAGGAUUUAUUGAUUUUAAAUUAUGUAUAACUUUUAAAAAAAUUGUACCAAAAACAACCAAAAGAAUUAUAAACAAAUAAUCUGAACGUAGCCCGGACAAACCCCCCAGUUUAACUUAAAAAGUUAAAGCUACGGUACAUAAUGGAGUGAGCCAACAUUUGAAUUAAGAGACAAUUAGCUAAAUAUACAUAAAUAAAGUCCAUAUUAGUAACCUACACAUGGUGUGAUGUUCACCAAACUGAUAGACCCAUGGAUGUGUGACAACGUUCCUGACCAUUCAAGAGUGCAAAUGGAAGCAUUUGUUGAACUUGCUUUGAGAUGUGUUGGAUUAAGACCAGGAGAAGACAAGCCUCGCAUGAUAGAUGUUGCAAAGGAACUCAAGCAUAUAGAGAAACAGACCUGAAGCUGCAUAUUUCUCUGGUGAGAUUCAAAAACAGACUUACCUAUGUAAUAUGCAGUAUUAGUAGUGAAUAUUGUUUUGAACCUUCUUGUAUUCAAACUUUCUUUCAUUAUGCUAUAUGUUAUAUGUAAGAGCCUGAGUUUCCAUAAUGACAAUACAAGGAUUGUUUAUAUA